rnacentral:rRNA from 1 species
GUAGGUGAACCUGCGGAAGGAUGAUUA